rnacentral:rRNA from 1 species
UAGGGGGCAAGCGUUAUCCGGAUUCACUGGGCGUAAAGGGAGCGCAGGCGGCACGGCAAGUCUGAUGUGAAAACCCGGGGCUCAACUCCGGGCGUGCACUGGAAACUGGCGGGCUAGAGUGUCGGAGGGGUAAGCGGAAUUCCUAGUGUAGCGGUGAAAUGCGUAGAUAUUAGGAGGAACACCAGUGGCGAAGGCGGCUUACUGGACGACGACUGACGCUGAGGCUCGAAAGCGUGGGGAGCAAA